rnacentral:rRNA from 1 species
UACGUAGGUGGCGAGCGUUGUCCGGAAUUACUGGGUGUAAAGGGCGUGUAGACGGGUGUGCAAGUCAGAUGUGAAAUUCCAGGGCUCAACCCUGGCGCUGCAUCUGAAACUGUAUAUCUUGAGUGCUGGAGAGGAAAGCGGAAUUCCUAGUGUAGCGGUGAAAUGCGUAGAUAUUAGGAGGAACACCAGUGGCGAAGGCGGCUUUCUGGACAGUAACUGACGUUGAGGCGCGAAAGCGUGGGGAGCAAACAGGAUUAGAUACCCUGGUAGUCCACGCCGUAAACGAUGGAUACUAGGUGUAGGAGGUAUCGACCCCUUCUGUGCCGGAGUUAACACAAUAAGUAUCCCACCUGGGGAGUACGGCCGCAAGGUUGAA